UUCUUCUUUUUUUUUCCUUUUUUCUUUCUCUCUCUCUCUCUCUCUCCCCUCUCUCUCUCUCUCUCCCCCCCCCCUUUUUUUUUCCUCUUUGGUCUCAGUCAUGGGGACACCAUUGGGAAUGGAGGGAAGCCAGUGACUGCAUGCUAGAAGCUUUCUAAGUUGCGCACUGAUAUUCCAGGCCGGCUGUGCCUGAGCCAGUGUGGGCUUAAGUUCUUCACGGCCCCGGGGCCCUGGGAAGGUGGAGCCAGCUGCUUCUCCCCGAAUAACUGGGAGGUGAAACAAGAAGCCCUAUGACGCAGUUGAUCGAAAAUGACACAGACACAGAAAAGUCAGGACUCGGCCCCCUCCAGUGCCUCCACCUGCUGCCCACGGCCAGAGUGCAGAUGGGCCAAGUAAGGAGCAGAAAGCAAAAGGACUCGGCUGAAGUGUGCAGCCUCCAGCAGCUCUCCCAUCCUUCAUGAACUGGAUCCGGAAAGGAGACUCUCAGGAGGGUGAAAUUGAACAGGGUUUCCGCGUAUUAUCUGCUUGUCUCGGAGCUUCUGGGGCCACCGCUCUGUGCGCUGCAUGAGCUAAGCCCACCUUCGGUUGCAUCAUCAGGUUCCGCAAAGCCACUUGCGCCAGGAGCCCCACAAGAGCUCGCUCAGGGUCCACCAGCUGGAAUCUGAGCCAGAGCAGACUAAAAAUACCCAGCCCUGCGGACUCACGCCCGGCUCCUGGGGGGCUUCCAGACUGACAGCUCCGUUUACACACCCACAAUGGGUUAAAACAAAAAAGAAAAAAAAGAAAAAAAAAACCCAAUCCGCACGUUUUCUUCGCGUUGAUUGAUUUGAGCUCAGCUCUAGAGAGUUUUGCUGGCCAUUUUCAGAAUGUUGAAACUCCGCAGGACUGUUUUAGGAAAAGUAAAAGGCGGCAAAGCGGAGAGGGCAGGCUGGCUUUGUCAGGGUCUGGGGCUCUCCGGCCACGGUCACUGCGAAAGCUGCGCCCAGCCUCGGAGCGGUCGGACCCUCACGGGACCGCGCGCGGGUCCCUCUCCCACUCCAGCUCAGAGGCUGCCUCCCUCCGCCUAUCCCCAGAAGGCACGGGACUUUACAGUUCACACAUUUAACGGAGAAAACCCCGGUCCGGAGCCCGGAGCCCGGAGCCCGUGAAAUGGAGCGCACGGCCCUGGGUGCGCAGCUCUCACAGUCCGGAUGUGCGCAAACUGCUCCCCUGGGCGGUAUUCAGGCCGAUGCUUUGCGGGGAAGUACCUCCUCCUAGAGAGUGUCCUCUCCUCCCAGGCCUCGCGGGGAAAACUUACAAAGACAGAAAACCACAGGGUUCCUGGCACAUGGGCUUUGGGUUUAUCAGCUUAGAGCAGACUCUUCCUGGCCUGAGCCCGGGCCCUUCCUCUGACUGCAAAGGCAGAGAGACACAAGCAGACAGAAACGCGCUCGCUCAGCGGCUGACGCACGCCCAGAGUUGUAUUCAACCCUCAAAAAAUUGUCUACAAGAGAUUGCUGAGGGUCGCGGUGCCUUCUGUCUUGCUCUCUUUCUUUUUAUCCGGCGCCGUGUCACCUUUCAAGACACCUGAAAUCAACCGAGAAGCAGACCGAAAGAGGGCCGGCGGGUUUUGAACACACGAUACUAAUUCACACUCUGGUGCCUCAAACAAAUAAACAAACAAACAAACCAACAAAAAACCCAAAAAACCAGCAAGAGUGUUUCUAAGGUAGAUCCACCCCAGUUCACUUGAAGGGGAAACCUCACUCCUGCGGAAGGUGACCUUGUGUGACAUUGGAAAGCUGGCUUUACAGGGACCCUGUGCAAACCAAACUGGGCAGGGAAGAAAUGAAGCCGUGAUUCCUUCAAGGGGGUUUGGCAAGAUUUGGUCAAUGACAGCCCCAUCAUUUCUACAAACCCAUUAGCAGUGUGUAAGGGUUCCGGUUCCUCCACAUUCUCAUAACGCCCAUGAUGGUGGGCCCCCAGUGGUUGGAAGGGGAGCAUUCGUGCUGUCCGCCCUGCAUAAAAGCUCAGACAUUUGGGCUGUAAGGGAAAGAACUUAACGCAGGAAGUAAGGGCUGUAAGGGAAAGAACUCAACUUAACGGCGUUGAGAAAGAAAUCCACUGGCCAGUGCCUGCAAAGUCCAGGACUGGCUUGACUCUAUGACAUCAGCAGGACUGGAUGUCAAUCGCCCCAUCGCUCUUGAGGGGGGGGCUCUCCACUAGCUGUGGCUGUGAGCUGGCUGCCAGCAGCUUAGCUCAAAGACUGUCUUCUGAGCAGCCCGGGUGACAGGCAUGGGGACGGCGUGACAGGACCAUCCGCCCAUCCUGGACAUUGGACCUGGGGCAUGGGAUGUGCUAGUUAGUGGUUCUGGGUCACUCGCCCACCUCUGGACCAGGCAGCCCACCAAAACGGCGUGAGCUGGUCCUGGAAGGACGCCGGUGCCGGAGAAGGAGGAUCAGAUCCUGAAAGGUGGUCACAGCAGGUGCCCCCCACGCCCCGCGCCCUGCUCUUUCCUUGACCUUCUACACCUUGGUUCGUCUUUCCUGGAAGUGCAACAUGCAGCUGUUCCCUUGCCAAACUUGCCACCCUGGUCAAAUGGCUUCGCUUCUCCAUGCCCCAAACGAAGAUGUUGAAAGGACCUUUUGCAUGGGGUUGUUGUGAGGAUUCACUAAAAUAACAGGCCUCAAGCAUCUGGCACCUGGCGCCCAGCAACUCACUGCUCAUUUGCUCAACGAGGUUAAAAGGUUCUGAUCGCUGUGUCCCAGGACGGAAGGACCCCUCCCUCUGCAGCUCCAGGGGCGACUCAGUGCGUUAAAAAAAAAAAAAAAAAGGAGGGGGGGGGGCAACUGGCAGGUGAAAGGCAGACAGGAAGAGCAAAUAAGAAGUCAAAUUACUUCUUCGUAAGACACCUUGAUGCUCUAAGGACAGCCUGUUACAAGCGGCCAUCACUCUGGGAAAAGAAAUUGGGGUCUCAGAAACCAGACCCUUUGAAGAGUAAAGCCUCUCACUUUGGCCGGCCUCUGUGACAAUUCUCAUUGAACAUUGCCCAGAAAUAAGUUUUGAUGGCACGUGCUUCUCAUGCGGAUGCUCCCAUGUUCGCAGUUUUUUUCUGAAUGAUCUUUACCAAUAAACCUCUCUCGUGUCCUCA